UCCCAAUUCUUGUGCCAGAGGUGUAUUA
rnacentral:piRNA from 1 species